GUCUACAGCCAUACCACCCCAAAUGGGCCUGAUUUCAUUUUAUCUCAGAAUCUAAACAGGAUUGGGCUUGGUUAGUACUUGAAUGGGAGACUGAUCAAAAUUCCAACAGUACAUC
ensembl:rRNA 5S_rRNA 5S ribosomal RNA